CUCCUCCUCCUCUCCUCCCCCUCCUCUCCUCCUCCUCUCCUCCCCUCCUCUCCUCCUCCUCCCCCUCCUCUUCCUCCUCCUCUUCCUCCUCCUCCUCCUGUCCUCCCCCUCCUCUCCUCCCUGUUGCUUUUCUUAGUACUGCUGACGGAAAUAGAAGCUGUCAGUUUGGACCAGGAUCCCACUCCGGUAACAACAGGUCAGAACAGGCUCCAACUGCAGUAGCCCUCCGUGAAGACGCACCUGCUGCUACAGACAGAUACUGAGAGACUGAGAUGGUGAGAGAGAUACAGAGAGAGAACAGGGGAGGGAAACUAAACAA